GGCGGACGUGGCCAAGUGGAUUAAGGCAGUGGAUUGUGAAUC
rnacentral:tRNA from 8 species